rnacentral:rRNA from 1 species
GAUGAACGCUAGCUACAGGCUUAACACAUGCAAGUCGAGGGACCGGCGCACGGGUGAGUGACACGUAUCCAACCUGCCCUUUACUCGGGGCUAGCCUUUCGAAAGAAAGAUUAAUACCCGAUGUAAAGGAUGGGGAUGCGUUCCAUUAGGUUGUUGGUGAGGUAACGGCUACCCAAGCCUUCGAUGGAUAGGGGGUCUGAGAGGAAGGUCCCUCACAGCUGCACUGAGACACGGUACAAACUCCUACGGGAGGCAGCAGUUAGGAAUAUUGGUCAAUGGGCGUUAGCCUGAACCAGCCAAUUAGCGUGAAGGAUGAAGGCUUAUGGGUCGUAAACUUCUUUUAUAUAAGAAUAUGUAUUAUAUGAAUAAGGAUCGGCUAACUCCGUGCCAGCAGCCGCGGUAAUUC